rnacentral:rRNA from 1 species
CCUANGGGAGGCAGCAGUGGGGAAUUUUGGACAAUGGGCGAAAGCCUGAUCCAGCAAUGCCGCGUGCAGGAUGAAGGCCUUAGGGUUGUAAACUGCUUUUGUACGGAACGAAACGGCUCCUCUUAAUACGGGGGGCUAAUGACGGUACCGUAAGAAUAAGCACCGGCUAACUACGUGCCAGCAGCCGCGGUAAUACGUAGGGUGCGAGCGUUAAUCGGAAUUACUGGGCGUAAAGCGUGCGCAGGCGGUUAUAUAAGACAGAUGUGAAAUCCCCGGGCUCAACCUGGGACCUGCAUUUGUGACUGUAUAGCUAGAGUACGGUAGAGGGGGAUGGAAUUCCGCGUGUAGCAGUGAAAUGCGUAGAUAUGCGGAGGAACACCGAUGGCGAAGGCAGCUCACUAAGCUGUAACUGACGCUCAUGCACGAAAGCGUGGGGAUCAAACAGGAUUAGAUACCCCGNUANUC